UAAAAUGAAACCAGUUCAUGUAGGAAUAGUUUCGUUAAACUUUAACAAUAUAACGGACUGAUAUGAUCAAAUAUUGGAGAUGCUAAAUCUUUCAAGGAAUGUUUAUAAAUUUUACCAGCGGAUAUAGCCAUCAUAAGUCUGGAUUGCUCUGCUUCUGUUAUAUAAGCUCGUAUGAGACCAGCGCUGAUGUCUUCUAAGUAAUCCUCCCUGUUCCUAAGAUCUACGACGAUACCAAUGUCAUCUUCAGCUAAGAGCUGGAUGUUGUCAUAUAUAAGGUCCUGCAAGUAAUCUGAUGAUUCACAAAAACCAGAUUCUCUCAGUUCCAAUAUGAGACAUUCGUGAAGAGGAAAUUUUCGCCUAAAACGAUAAAUAUUUUGUUGCCCUUGAGCGACAUUGAAGCGGAUCAGGUAUCCGAGGUCAAGGUAAUUUAUAAAUAUGUUUUAAUUCACCUCCUUAUUCCUUUCGCAUCUAAUGCGUUUAAACCAAAUAAGGCUCUGUUUCUUAGAUUUUCUAGACUGUUUUUUGUCAUACAAGCCAUUAGCUUCGGCAGUUGCCGCUUUUUGGGGAGGACCCCAGCUUCCAUAUUUUGCAUCAUCGACAUUUUUAUUUAGUUCAAUCUUUUGAUCGAUUUUAUUUACCCGUAACAAUAUUCCCACUGUAGCAAAUUUCAAACAGAAGUUUAUUAACUUGACAGUGUGUUACUAAUUAUUAAUUUAUUUCUCAUUUGACAUAAAUGUCAUGACGAAAAAAAAUAGGAAGCAAAAAAAAAAUGGCCAGUUUUAAGCAAAUGUAAAAUAAUUCAUAAUAAUAGCAAUUAAAUCAUUAAUAUUUUGCUUUCAACAUUGAAAUGAUUAUAAUGUCUAGACUCUAGAAUAAUCUGAACAUGGUUGUACUUCCUAGUAUUAAACAGAAUCAAACCCGUUCUAGAGCUUAAGGUCUUCGCAACGAUUUAUUGCUUGACCACAGAUUAUAUUUAAGUGGAGCGAUUCAGUAAUAAUUUAAUCGUAAUAUUUCCAUUCGCAUGAAUAAAAUAGUAAAUACUUUACUUGCGUAUGUAAAAAAGUACGAUUUAUUUUAUGCUACAGAAUAAAAGCGGCUCCCUUUUGAUAAAAAUACAUUUUUAUACAUGUAGUAUACACAUAUUGCAUAUUUUAUCUGUCUUAAAUUCAAACAAUCCUGCCUGUGACUUCUUUAAUACUUUUAUGUGGAUUUCUAGUGUCUCCUCCAAUCUACACGACACUGGCAGAAUAUACUGUGCACGAGUUGCACGGAUGAAGGCCAUAUUAAAAAAAAAAAUGUGCAUAUCUGUCAAAAAUAUUCCUAUAACAUAAACUAAGGAACUAGACAAAUAUAUACCAAGAGUAAUUGUACAUACAUUAAUAAACACCUUUACAGAA